UCCGUAAGGGUGAAUCCAUAAGAGGUGAAU
rnacentral:piRNA from 1 species